AGGACGAACGCUGGCGGCGCGCUUAACACAUGCAAGUCGAGCGAGAACCCAGGCUUCGGUCUGGGGGAAAGCGGCGAACGGGUGAGUAACACGUGGGUAAUCUGCCCUCGACAUCGGGAUAGCCCGGGGAAACCCGGAUUAAUACCGAAUGGCCCAUCAGCUUUUCGAAGCGGAUGGAAAAGGUAGCUUCGGCCUCCGGUCGAGGAGGAGCCCGCGGCGGAUUAGCUUGUUGGUGAGGUAACGGCUCACCAAGGCUUCGAUCCGUAGCUGGUCUGAGAGGACGAUCAGCCACACUGGGACUGAGACACGGUCCAGACUCCUACGGGAGGCAGCAGUGGGGAAUAUUGGACAAUGGGCGCAAGCCUGAUCCAGCCAUGCCGCGUGGGUGAAGAAGGCCUUCGGGUUGUAAAGCCCUUUUGUUGGGGACGAAGUCGUACGGGCGAAUACCCGUGCGGAUGACGGUACCCAAGAAUAAGCACCGGCUAACUUCGCGCCAGCAGCCGCGGU
rnacentral:rRNA from 1 species